UUUGUGUUUCACGAGGUAGGAAAAAUAAUCUCUCUUCAAGGUCUACGUCGUGCUAUGAUUAGGCUUUGAAUUGGAUUAUGUUUUUAACAAAUUGUGUUUUGGGUUGAUUCAAACGCCGCUGUGGAGGCCGUCGCCGGAAGCUAUUCUGGGUUCUCUGAUUCAUUCGUGACGUCCUAAAGUACAAUUUGAAGUUUGGUCUAGCUUCAUCCACCGUACUGGUUAUACUAGGAGCUUUGAGUUGCUCGAAUUGCUCUGAGGUGCGAGCAGAGAAGGUUGCUGAUCCAGGAGUUUUGUUUGGGUUUAAGACACCGCUCUAAAUUCACCAGAGGUAAAUUGUGGAACCAAACUUGCAAUUUUGUGUUGUUGGUUAAUUUCCAGAAAGGGUUGUUUGCGUCAUGGAUUGAAUCGGACAUGCGGUAGUCAAAGCACGGUUGUUUGAUUUACUAUUAAGUAGUGAGCUUGAUUAUGCCUUCACCAUGUUGAAUGGCAGUGUUCAAAGAAUGGAAAUACAUCAAAUCUUUAUCAGAUGAUUUCUGUCAAUUUGGUUACUAUUUAGAAUAAAACCAAGCAAGUAAGUGUUGGAAAAGGAAAGGAAGGGAAAGCGAAGCCCAGAAGCUCCUCGGGUUUCCCGGUGUAGUUUCCGAUUCCGGCCAUGUCGCGGUGCUGCAGCCGUGGCAGAAGCUUCGUCUAGACAUCCUGGACGUCCCUGUGGUGUCAGAUUUUCCCAAAAAACGAAGCAUGAGAGAGAAUUGAGGAUUCAAAGCUUUUUGGGGUUUCGGGCGAGUUUUCUCUGUUUUCCGGCAAUUCUAGCCACCAUCGACGACCAUCCACAACAUCAAUCUUCAUUUCCUCUUCAUGCUCUACAGAUUUUGGGGUUUUUGAGCUUAUUACGGGUUCUCUGAUUUCUGUGGAACUUUUGGUUUUCUUUGGUUAAGUCGUGAUUGCAGCACAUACUUCUUUAUAGGAAUUGAUCAGUUGUUAUCCCUCAAAUCCGAACACUUGCAGAAUUGGAGAAGGCUUCAAGUUUACUGGGUAUUGCCGUAUUGUUGAGCUAUGGUUGAUGUUAGUGAGAUGGGAUGUCAUAUAGUUCAAACUGUUGAAAGGAGAAGUUUGGAAAGCUCGGCAUUUUUUUUUUUAAUAGAAUCGGAUAAUGAUGAUUAGAUAGAGGGAGAACAGUAAUUGCUGUCAAGAUGUCUGAAACCGCAAAGAUGGAGUCGAAUUUUAGAUGAGAGGAUUUAGUCGAAAAUGGAACUCUUGGGUGUCAAGAGUAAUUUGAAGUACUUCAGUGACGAUCAUUGAUUAAGGAUUCAAUUCGUGAAUUGAAUGAUUACCGGCAGAAGCAGAAGCAGAAGGAUACGGAUUUCAUAAUGUGAGUCCCAAUGUUAGCAACUCUUAGCAGCGUUGCAGUUAAUGCUUGAAUUUGCAUGUAGGGUCUCUCGGGAACCUUUUCUAUUGAAAUGAUAAAUAGAAUUAUUAUUGAAAUUGGUGAUUUG
rnacentral:lncRNA from 1 species